AUCCAUAACAACCUGUUUUCUUAUAUAUAUAUGAGCAGCCUUAUUUCUUAUGUGCCAUACAAAUACUUGAAAGUUAAUUAGCAGUAUAAAUAGUAUCCUUCAAACAAAC
rnacentral:snoRNA from 1 species